AGUGAACGCUGGCGGUAGGCCUAACACAUGCAAGUCGAACGGCAGCACAGGAGAGCUUGCUCUCUGGGUGGCGAGUGGCGGACGGGUGAGGAAUACAUCGGAAUCUACUCUGUCGUGGGGGAUAACGUAGGGAAACUUACGCUAAUACCGCAUACGACCUACGGGUGAAAGCAGGGGACCUUCGGGCCUUGCGCGAUUGAAUGAGCCGAUGUCGGAUUAGCUAGUUGGCGGGGUAAAGGCCCACCAAGGCGACGAUCCGUAGCUGGUCUGAGAGGAUGAUCAGCCACACUGGAACUGCGACACGGUCCAGACUCCUACGGGAGGCAGCAGUGGGGAAUAUUGGACAAUGGGAGCAAGCCUGAUCCAGCCAUACCGCGUGGGUGAAGAAGGCCUUCGGGUUGUAAAGCCCUUUUGUUGGGAAAGAAAUCCAGCUGGCUAAUACCCGGUUGGGAUGACGGUACCCAAAGAAUAAGCACCGGCUAACUUCGUGCCAGCCGCCGCAGUAA
rnacentral:rRNA from 1 species